AUACGGUGGUGGGGGCAAGCUUAAAAUAACUUGUUGAAUCUCUCCCAGUACUCAUACAGAGUUUCCCCAUCUCUUUGCACAAUGCAAGAGAUCUCCUUUCGCAGCUU